AUGCAGGCAUGAAAAAUGGAAAAAGGAUUUAUCAAAGUUUAAAUUGUGAAUUAGUCUUAAAAUAUAAGAACAAUUUAAAUGUUAAAGAUGAGAGUUAUUAAGCUCUUUCUUGUUGUGUUCUUGCUGCUCACUGCCUCUUGAUGGCUAUUUGCUUUUGCUGCCUGUCC